rnacentral:lncRNA from 10 species
GUGCUGGUGGCCGAGGCCGGGCCAGAGGACGCGGUGCCGCCGGAGCCGGGCAACCAGUGGAAGGAGCCUGGGAGAGGCCAGGCCUCCCCGGACUGCUAGCCUGCUUUUCCUGGGGUCCCUGGAGCCGGAGGAAGAACCAGGAUGUUGCUGCCUGCAGAAGCUCAGCUCAGGAAGACUUCCAGGAACCUGAGGAGGAGCUGCCACUAACAGCCAUAUUUCCCAAUGGAGACUGUGAUGACCUUGGAAGGGGGUCAAAAGCCUGUGAUGGAGUCGUACACACUCCUGCUGAGCCCACCGGAGACUCAAGAUGAAGGCUGGACCCUUGCGCUGUCCCUGGCUCUAACCUACAGACUGGGGCCUGGCUCCGUCUUACUGGCCCCCAGGUCUCCAUGGAGACUGCAGAAACCCCCGCCUGCUGGAGGCCUGCCACACUCACAGUUACCAGCUAGACAGUGGGGCUUACUAAGACAAGCAGGACCUAAAACAGUGUCUCCCCUGGGAACCUACUCCCCACCCAGCAUUUGCUAAGUCUGAUCACAGGGAGGUUAUUUUGUCUCUCUGUCUCGGUUUCUCUGAGCCACUGAGACAGAUGGCUGUCCGCUUUGAGGCUCUGCAGAGCUGUGGCACCCCAUGGUGUGUCUGCAGUGUUCUGGGCACAUGCAUGGGCACCCAUCGUUGAGAGUGCAGCUGGGAAGAACUCUGAACCAGAAGUCAUCAGAGCUGAGGCAUGGCCUUGAACAUGUCACUCAGUCUCUGGGGCUUCUGUUUCACAAAUGCAUGAGGGGGCCACCAGCCCAGUGGCUUUAAACCAGGGGCAGGUUGUCCCUCCAGGCAGCAUUGGAAAUGUGUGUGUGUUGAGGGGGUCACAGUGACUGUGGGGGCACCCCUGGCAUCUAGUGGGCAUCCCACAAUGUGCAGAACAGUCUCUGACAGCAAAGAAUUGGUCCAUUCAAUGCCAAUUGUAGUACCUUUGAGACAUUCUGGCUGAGCCAAUGCCUUCUCCCUGUCAGAGUCCCCCAGAGCAGAGAGGGUCAGGCUUCCCUGGACCUUGGCUCCCAGAGCAAGCCAAAAUAAAGACUACACUGUUGCCUUGGGGGCUUGUCGGGCCAGGGCCAAGACGGUCUGCGUGCUGCAGGGCCAGGACAGAAAUAGCCACACAUGCCGGUGAGAACAAAGAGCCUCUUUCUUUCUCAUGUUGACAUCGACUUUCUGUGCCAAGUCCUUUGGGUAUAAGGAUGCUAGGGAAUUCCUAUAGGCACCAAACAGAAGGAAAGCUAGGGGCUUGGACUACUGGGUAUAGGACUUGCUCUAGCUCUCAGGUCCUAGCCCAAGCUCAAUGCAAACACAGCCCCUCCGGGCUCUCUGUUUCUGUGAGGUUCUGGAAUCCCUUCCUCUGUGUCCGUGAGUCUGACAGAAUCGAUGAUGUUCCCUUAGAGCUGGGAAAUCCAUGUGUUUAUUCACGGAGGGAACUCACCAUUACCUCCCUUGUCUUCUUUGCCUGCCUUGGAGAAAUCCAGAGUCUUCGGAAUGGCAAAGGCAGCUCCUGGAUUUCCCUGGAGGGGAGGCACUAGCUGAGGGAAGUAGCUCCCUUCAUUCAUGAUGCACAGUUUACGCAGCAGACACACAACUGCGCCUACUAUUUGCUCGGUGCCCUGCAAGGUGCUGCCUAACUUUGAUUUGUUAUUUCAGCUCUCUCCAGGAUAGUGCCAAAUGGUGCAAUGGGAAACCUGUUUUGCUGGGGGGCUCUAGAUCACUGGCUCCAGAACUCCCGGCUGCCAGGGUAGCCCCUACCCCCAGCCCCUUGCUCCUGGACAGCAGUGGGUCUCACCUUUAGCCUCUGCCCCCAGUUCUGGUCUGACCCAACAGAGGGGCUCUAUGAUAUUAAGAAGGGGCCCUUCCUGCUCUGUGCCUCAACCUAUUCUCCAUAAUAGGGAGUCUAAUCCUAUUCCUUCCCUGCCUGAUGAGGAUGGUGUGAGGAUGAGGAGGACGGCAUCUCAUUUGGGGCUUUUUGGCAGUGGGCCUCAUUUUAAUCCUGCAGGGCUGCCUGCCAGUGGAUCUAUCCAGCUGCUUCCUUGUAGCCAAGAAUGAGUUCAAUGAAUUGUGAUUCACUGAUUUUAUUGAUUUUGUUUUAAAACAGGGAGACUGGUAUUUUUGAAGCUGCUAUCAUUUUCUAUUUCUUUAUUAAUUUCUUUGUAAUCAUCUUAUUAAAGUUUUCUUAUUUAGUGGGAGAGGGAGCUUUGUUUAAGUUUGGAAUUUGCCUAAGGCAGAAGUUAUAAGGCUUCAUAACCUUUUGUAUGUAUUGCCAAUAUUUGAAACUUGGGAGAUUACGUAUAAAAAAUACCUAGUUUUCUGGGUGGAGGAUGGGGCAUGCUGUCAUCUCAAGUCUGCUGCGGCUCACCCCCACCACCUUUACCCCCUCCCCCGCCCUUCCCAUCCCCCACUGCACUUCACUCAUGUAAGACGUCUGCCCGGUGCUGGUCCAGGCGGGCAUGUGAGUUUGUAGCCUCUGCUCCAAAGGAUGGUUUACACAUUAUUUUUUCAUUACCUUCAGUAUUCCUGUGAAUGGUUCAAGAGAGAAAGUCUUCAUUUACUAAGAUUUGGGUUCUGCCUCCCAAGUGACAAUACGGGGCUGAGAUCCCUCUCAGCUUCUUUGAGAUGUGGCCACCAUAAGCAUCAUCGUUGUAGGGACAGUCUCAUUGCUGUCUUCUAGCAGACAGAAGAGUUAGGUGCCAGAAAGGACAAUCUUGAUGGUGGGUCCCCUCCCUGAAGGACUUUAAGAAGGCAUAAAGGGGUUGGGGUGGAGGGUGGCGUGUGAAGGAGGAGGCCCUUGAUUAGGUCAGUGGUCCCUGGGAGCCAUCGGCGAGAGGCCUCCAGCCGGGUGACAGUCUGGGCUCUCGGGUACUAAUCUUUCUAAUAUGGCAGUGGUUGUGGCACUUCUGACUUGAAUUGAUAAUUCUCAUAUCUAAUAAAACCAAGAAGUACCUCGUUGAUAUCUUAUAGAAAACAAAA